rnacentral:rRNA from 1 species
UACGGGGGGGGCAAGCGUUGUUCGGAAUUACUGGGCGUAAAGGGCGCGUAGGCGGGUGGACAAGUCUCUCGUGAAAGCCCACGGCUCAACCGUGGAAUUGCGGGAGAUACUGUCUGUCUUGUGUCCGGGAGAGGAGGGUGGAAUUCCCAGUGUAGCGGUGAAAUGGGUAGAUAUUGGGAGGAACACCGGUGGGGAAGGCGGCUCACUGGGUCUUUUCUUGCGCUGAGGCACGAGAGCUAGGGGAGCAAACGGG